CCGGAUAUUCGAUGAUAACUAAAAGGCCAAGUAGAAGUAAAUUAGAUGCUGCUGUGUUUCUGUUUCAUCAGCAGUACCAUUAGUAAAUUCUAAACUUCAAAACCUGUUUAUUUUGUUAUUUUUAAUCUCUGACUGACAGGUACUUUUUCCAUCCAUGGUCAUUUGUCAUUGAAGCAAUACAUGAAGGAAAGAAACGGAAACCUCCAUUAAAUGGGUUCCUGGAAGAUAAGGCUGAGACCAGAGAGUUCCUGAAAAUGUAAAAUUGGACAUUUCAGAAAUAGCAGCCUAUUGUACCAAAGCUAUCAAAUUCUAGUCUUGUUGAAAGCAGAGGAAAUACUUCUACUGACUAAGUCAAGGAGAAACCUGUCAGUUUUCGUAAAGUUUUCUGAAAAACAUUUUCUUCCAUACCAUGCAAAAUUCUUUGUAAGUGACCUGAAAAAAGUUGCAUUCAGUGUAUAAUAAUAAUGACAGAAAAUAAAAUAUCCCAUGUCUCUGAGCAAGAGGGUUUUUCAGUUCAGGUUUUAUACAUGUCUAAGAAAUUAGAAUAAUAACUGUAUUUUUCUUUGUGUCACUAGAAAAAUAGAAAUAUGUUCAACAAGGAUGCUGCAUGGUUGUAUUUCUUUUAUGAAACAGAUAAGGAGGAAACUGUAAUUGUAGAUCUGCAUUUGAAUUUAAGACACUGUGUGACUUGAGAAUGAAUUAGAUGAAACAAUGAAGCGAUAAAAUUUCUAUAUUCACU